rnacentral:tRNA from 1 species
GGGGCUGUGGCUCAGUGGUAGAGCGCUCACCUAGCAUGUGUGAGGCCCUAGGUUUGAUCCUCAGCACCA